rnacentral:rRNA from 1 species
GAUGAACGCUAGCGGCAGGCCUAACACAUGCAAGUCGAGGGGUAGAACACUUCGGUGUUUGAGACCGGCGCACGGGUGCGUAACGCGUAUGCAAUCUACCUUGUACAGGGGAAUAGCCCAGAGAAAUUUGGAUUAAUGCCCCAUAGUAUAUAACCUUCGCAUGUUGGUUAUAUUAAAGUUCCAACGGUACAAGAUGAGCAUGCGUCCCAUUAGUUAGUUGGUAAGGUAACGGCUUACCAAGACGAUGAUGGGUAGGGGUCCUGAGAGGGAGAUCCCCCACACUGGUACUGAGAUGCGAACCAGACUCCUACGGGAGGCAGCAGUGAGGAAUAUUGGUCAAUGGGCGCAAGCCUGAACCAGCCAUGCCGCGUGCAGGAAGACGGUCCUAUGGAUUGUAAACUGCUUUUAUACAGGAAGAAACCCUCCCACGUGUGGGAGAUUGACGGUACUGUAGGAAUAAGGAUCGGCUAACUCCGUGCCAGCAGCCGCAGUAAUAC